CCACCAUGUUCUACGUGCCUCGGUGUAGGGAUAUCCGUGUUUGAACCCGCUUGCCGAUCACGCAUUUGUAGCUUUGUACUGACAUAGUCAUGUUGAGUUU